UCCGAGUUGACCCCGGCUGUCUCUCUAGAGUGCCCAGCUUUACCUGCUGGCAACUAAAGAUAAGGGUUGCGCUCGUUGCGGGACUGAACCCAACAUCUCACGACACGAGCUGACGACAACCAUGCACCACCUGUCACCUUUGUCUCCCGAAGGAGAAAGGUAUAUCUCUAUACCGGGCAAAGGGAUGUCAAGCCUUGGUAAGGUUCUUCGCGUUGCAUCGAAUUAAACCACAUGCUCCACCGCUUGUGCGGGCCCCCGUCAAUUCCUUUGAGUUUCAACCUUGCGGUCGUACUCCCCAGGCGGAGUGCUUAUUGGGUUUCCUUCGGCACUGAGGGUAUUGAAACCCCCAACACCUAGCACUCAUCGUUUACGGCGUGGACUAC
rnacentral:misc_RNA from 1 species